UACGGAGGGGGCUAGCGUUAUUCGGAAUCAUUGGGCGUAAAGGGCGCGUAGGCGGCGCGGUAAGUCAAAGGUGAAAUCCCUCGGCUCAACUGAGGAACUGCCUUUGAAACUGUCGUGCUUGAGUCCGGGAGGGGGUAGCGGAAUUCCCAGUGUAGCGGUGAAAUGCGUAGAUAUUGGGAGGAACACCAGUGGCGAAGGCGGCUACCUGGACCGGUACUGACGCUGAUGCGCGAAAGCGUGGGGAGCAAAC
rnacentral:rRNA from 1 species